ensembl:lncRNA
UUGUGCUACUUUUGCAAGCUCAGCUCACAGCCGGCCUUCAUGAUAGGAGGUGGGCUAAAGGCCGUGGCUGGAGGGUCCAGGGACUGUGAUUUUGUUUUCCAUCUUCAUCUGCCCAAGUCCUUUCCUGCCUUUAGGCUUCUGCAGCUCUUGUCUUUGCUCUAGGAAACCUUCUCUGACCCUUUAAGAUCCGGUCAAGUUUCUGUCGGAUGUGCCAAACACCCCGUCCUUAAUCUUAUGAGCAUUUAUUAUGCUGUACUGUCACAGUUUCUUUAGGUAUCUUUUUCCCUCACUGGACUGUAGACACCUCGGGGCAGGACAGAAUCUUAUUCACCAUCCGAUACUCAGCUCCUAGCACACUAUUGAGCUCAUAGUAGGUGCUCAAUUAAUUGAUGACCUUCAUGAAUGUAUGACUACUUUAUAAAUGAGUUAUACAGGUAACUUUGUAGGUCUACAACUCCAUAUGACACAGAGGCCUGAGGCUAUAGAUGAACACUGCUGAAGUGGCACAAGUUGCUGAUAUCAAGGGUUUCAGUUAAGACAAUAGUCACGGGAGCAGAAAGGAAGGCUCUCUAGCCCCAGAGCUCUGGUCUGGAUCUCCUCCUGCCUGGGCCUUGAAUACUUGCUCAAAGCCCUUAGGCUACAGUGAAUUUUUCUGGAGCUUUGCCUUAUAUAGCUUUGCUCAAGAUAAAAGCAGUGUUUAAGGAAACAUUUGGGCAAUGUCUCAGGGCAGCCAACUUGAGCAAUUUCAAAAACACUGUUUUACUCUGCAGCCUGGGCUGUGGAUAAGAUUUACUCACUGCGUUUCAGAGCCUCGGUCACUGUCCAGAUCCGAGUCUCAGGGGUCUGUCUCUGGGGUAAGAGUUAAGCUCUCACAGUGCUCUCAAAGUUGCUUCAUAAGUCUUUGGCUUUAACAUGACAGUGGCCAUCUGUCCUAGCCAAUCCCUGGGGGAAAUGUUAGAAGAAGCAGCACAUUGACAUUCGGGCUAGAGGAAGCAGGGUGCCAAAGCCCACAUGGAAAGACUUUUCCAGGGUUAUCCUCACUGUGUCCACGGUGGGAACCUGGGACCGAGAGCUUGAUGGGCUCAGAGGCUGCUGGGGUGGGCAUGAGAGUAUUUGUUUCUAUAGAAAUGUUGCUAUAGGAUGUCUGUAGGGCCUUUGAAAGUUGACACCAGCUUUGCCCUGAAAACCAUGUGGUGCCCUUUCACAAUGUUCCCUAUGCCUUUUUAUUACCAAAGAAGUUUUCUGGUAGCUGUCCUGUCUCCAGCCUGAAACUCACUGAUGUUCUGUGAAAAUACGACAGAGACUUCAGAAUUCGAAGCCAGGUUUCUCCUUUCCAGGAGGGGGGCCUUAGUAUCCAUACACUGUAAAGAACGAGAAGCUUGCCUCCAGUGCCCUUGGCACUUUUCUGGCCCCUCCCUCCUCUCCUCCAGGCCAGAUCUGUCCCCUGGGGCCUGGCUCUCAGCCUGUUGUCAACUAAUCCAUGCUAAGGUGUUAGGUGGCAAAGGCUCAAGGGUUAUUAAUCCUUGUAGGAGCUUUCCGCAUUAAACAAAGUUUUGUUACUAAAUCAAAGGGCAUUAAAAAAUCAUCACCAUAACGUAAAAACAAUUUCUUUGUGUUCCCUAUAAAUCUUUACCUUUGUAAGUGAAUAUAGUUAUGAUUAUAACAUAUAUGCAGUAUUUGGGGUUUUUUUCACACAGAAGUACAUUUUGCACAUUUCUUUACAUGUCUAAAUGUCCCAUUUUCAUCCUCAUAAUAGUUUGAAGGUACUUUUUGCAGCAUCUGCCCAUCCCAUGAUGACUUCUCCCCUGCAAAGCCAACUGCCUUCUCUCCUUACCAGCCUCCCCACCAAUGAAGUGGGCCGGGGUAGGGGACCAUUGUGUUGCUGUGACCCGUGCCUCCACCUAUGCCUAACCUCUGCCACAGCUGAAUGAACAGGACUAGCACUAGAUUCAAGGCUCCCUUGAGAAGAUGAAUGCUGGACUUGUAGCAGAUUUCUGCAAAA